CCUACGGGAGGCAGCAGUGAGGAAUAUUGGUCAAUGGGCGAGAGCCUGAACCAGCCAAGUCGCGUGAGGGAGUACUGCCCUAUGGGUUGUAAACCUCUUUUGUCGGGGAGCAAAAGCCGGACGUGUCCGGCUGUGAGAGUACCCGAAGAAAAAGCAUCGGCUAACUCCGGGCCAGCAGCCGCGGUAAUACGGAGGAUGCGAGCGUUAUCCGGAUUUAUUGGGUUUAAAGGGGGCGCAGGCGGUUUUUUAAGUCAGCGGUAAAAUCGUGGGGCUCAACCCCAUCCAGCCGUUGAAACUGGGGAUCUAGAGUGUGCGAGAGGUAUGCGGAAUGCGUGGUGUAGCGGUGAAAUGCAUAGAUAUCACGCAGAACCCCGAUUGCGAAGGCAGCAUACCGGUGCACAACUGACGCUCAGGCACGAAAGCGUGGGUAUCGAACAGGAUUAGAUACCCCUGUAGUC
rnacentral:rRNA from 1 species